GUAUGNUGCAAGCGUUAUCCGGAUUUACUGGGUGUAAAGGGUGCGUAGGUGGUGAAACAAGUCUGGAGUAAAAGGUAUGGGCUCAACCCGUACUGGCUCUGGAAACUGUUCAGCUAGAGAACAGAAGAGGACGGCGGAACUCCAUGUGUAGCGGUAAAAUGCGUAGAUAUAUGGAAGAACACCGGUGGCGAAGGCGGCCGUCUGGUCUGUUGCUGACACUGAAGCACGAAAGCGUGGGGAGCAAAUAGGAUUAGAUACCCUAGUAGUCCACGCCGUAAACGAUGAGAACUAGGUGUUGGGGGAAUAACUCAGUGCCGCAGUUAACGCAAUAAGUUCUCCGCCUGGGGAGU
rnacentral:rRNA from 1 species